UACGUAGGGUGCAAGCGUUAUCCGGAAUUAUUGGGCGUAAAGAGCUCGUAGGCGGUUUGUCGCGUCUGCUGUGAAAACCGGAGGCUCAACCUCCGGCCUGCAGUGGGUACGGGCAAACUAGAGUGCGGUAGGGGAGAUUGGAAUUCCUGGUGUAGCGGUGGAAUGCGCAGAUAUCAGGAGGAACACCGGUGGCGAAGGCGGAUCUCUGGGCCAUAACUGACGCUGAGGAGCGAAAGCAUGGGGAGCGAACAGG
rnacentral:rRNA from 1 species